AAGAUGGAGAUGGUAUCUGGGAUGCCGUUCAUCGACCAUGUUGAUCGAGUAUGUGAUGGGUGCUUGGUUGGAAAACAGCACCGCAGGCCGUUCCCUGCUCAGUCUACCUAUCGUGCAAGUGAUGCACUUGAGUUGCUCCAUGGUGAUCUAUGUGGCCCUAUCACCCCAGCAACUCACGGAGGAAAGAAAUACUUUUUCCUUGUGGUAGAUGACUACUCGAGAUACAUGUGGGUUGUUCUCCUACGAUCUAAAGAUGAGGCGCUUGAAGCGUUCAAGAAACUGAAGGCUGCAACGGAGAUGGAACACAAGUUGAAGGUUCGCGCUCUACGGAGAGAUCGCGGCGGAGAGUUUACGUCGAACGAGUUCAAUGACUACUGC
rnacentral:rRNA from 1 species